rnacentral:sRNA from 1 species
AUUCUUGUUGAACAGAACGUUUUGUCAGAACAAUUAUGGCUUUCUUCCUGAAGUGUGCUUGGCCGGAAAAGAAAGCAGGAGCCCUCAAGGGCUAAUAAUCUAGCAGUGGCUGACACUGAAAUGAUGCAUGGAAGAAAGGCUACCAAGCAAGGGAGGUGGAGAGUAGUUUGAAGCAACUGGGGUAAAGUCCGGAGAAGAAGCUGGUGAGAAAGAGACAGGAGCCAGAUGCUGAAUGACGGUAAAUCGAAUCCUGGAGGGAACCAAACAAAACCCUGAAAACCUCCAGGAGUCUCAGGUUGGCCAAAUCCUUGGUAAUGUCCUGCCACUCCCCAGGACUGCCACACUGUACACACCCUAUCUAAUGGCAACCUACUGCAGGGGCCAAGGAAAAACGUUUCCUUUGUCCUCUGGAGUUUCACUGAAAAAUCAACUGGCGGAAAGCAAAUUAACAGGGCAAAAGAUAUACAUGUAUUAUUAUAAAAAGACGUAAAUGUAUUAUUGGGCAUGUGGGGGAACCACAGAGUAAUUACUCCACCUCUCAGUGGGCUCAGAAGCUUAUAUACCCCUCCUGAGGUUACAGAAAGUUUGGGGGCUCAGAGAAUGGUGGUAAAUCAGGAUUUAGUGGCAAGACAGAAAUGGAAACUUGGCUAGCAAAAGUCAUUUCAUUAUGUAGAUUGGGGUCCUCAAACUUUGGGCCAUUUACAUUGUGGCCAUUUACAUUCCUGUUAGGAAUAGGGCCGCACAGCAAGAGGUGAGUGGCGGGUGAGUGAGCAAUACCGCCUGAGCUCUGCCUCUUGUCAGGUCAGCAGCUGGUAUUAGGUUCUCUUAGGAGCAAGAACACUGUUGUGAACUGCACAUGCAAGGGAUCUAGGUUGCAGCUCCUUAUGAGAAUCUAAUGCCUGAUGAUUUAAGGUGGAACAGUUUCAUCCUGAAAACCAUCCCCCUGCCCUGGUCCAUGGAAAAAUUGUCUUCCAUGAAACCUAUCCCUGAUGCCAAAAAGGUUGGGGACCGCUGAUGUAGAUGAAACCUCACAGGUAGUAGCCAUUGGAAAGAAUAGAUGGUUGAUGUUUCUUUCAGACCUUUAAAGGUGUCAGACUGUCCAUUAACCUUUCUAUAUCUGGACAAGGGAAAACCUCAGAGAGCACCUGGCUGCAUCAAUGCAGAUUUUCUCUGUAUAUUGCAAGCCUCUCCCACACACACACACACACACACACACACACACACACACACACACAAACAGCUUCGUAGGACUACUUCCGCCUGCAGGUCCUCUGAACAGCCAUAUCUCAAAAUAUGUGAAAGAAGUAUAUUUUGGGGUAAAAUUUUUUGGUUUCCUUCACUACACAUCUCACCUUGGGUGUUAUUCUUGCCACUGGUUUCAUGUUCUCAGACUCACGAAGCUGAAAAACAGUUGGGGAUGCAGAAUUUGAUGUGCUUCAUCCUUUGUGGGCUUGAAGAGUCUCUUGUUCCCAAAAUUAUUCCCUGGGGCCCUCUGCUUCACAGGCAAAUAAAAGCAAAAAGAAGCUUGCUCAGCCUUAAGUGAGGAAAUGACUCACAGGUUUAAAACAAAAAAGGAAAAGAUGGAGGCAUUUUGUAGGUGAAAGGGCGAGAGUCUUCUGAUGCAAAAUAAGAGGUCAUUAGAGCAGGGAUGGAUUAUCAGUAAGCAGAGCAAACAUUUGCUUAGGGAACAAACAGCGCCGGAACACG